rnacentral:rRNA from 1 species
UGCCAGCAGCCGCGGUAAUACGGAGGGGGCAAGCGUUGUUCGGUAUCACUGGGCUUAAAGGGUGCGCAGGCGGAACUUUAAGUCAGUGGUGAAAUCUUGCCGCUUAACGGUAAAAUUGCCGUUGAUACUGAAGUUCUUGAAUGUAGUUGAGGUAGGCGGAAUGUGUUGCGUAGCGGUGAAAUGCAUAGAUAUGACACAGAACGCCAAUUGCGAAGGCAGCUUACUAAGCUACGAUUGACGCUGAGGCACGAAAGCGUGGGGAGCAAACAGGAUUAGAUA